GUCGAUCCUAAGAGAUGGGGAAUCCUUGUAUCAAGGGUGCACUCUACAUGAACAUCGAAAGAGAAUUGGGUUAAUAUUUCCGAACCAGGACAUGGUUGUGGAUGACAAUGUUAGGAAAUCUGGAGAUGCCAUUGGGGGCAUGGGAAGAAUUAUCUUUUCUUUUUAACGACUUUCCCACCCUAAAAUCGGUUCAACCAGAGAUAGGGUCCAACAUCUGAAAGAGAACCACAUGUAUUACAGCAUUUGGUUCCCCCUCAAUGACCAUUGUAAAUAUGGUGAACUGAGUACCAUCCAUGCCUGAUUGUACUCAUAUCUGCCUCC
rnacentral:ncRNA from 1 species